rnacentral:rRNA from 1 species
ACGUAAGAUGCAAGCGUUAUCCGGAAUUACUGGGCGUAAAGGGUGCGCAGGCUGUUAAUUAAGUCGGGUGUGAAAUCCCACGGCUCAACCGUGGAACUGCGCCCGAAACUAAUUAGCUAGAGUCUGGGAGAGGAAGACGGAAUUCCUGGUGUAGGAGUGAAAUCUAUAGAUAUCAGGAAGAACACCGGUGGCGAAGGCGGUCUUCUGGCCUAAGACUGACGCUAAAGCACGAAAGUGUGGGGAGCAAACGG